UCAAAGAGUGUGGCUUCAGCUACUUCCACUGUUGCAAUUUCUUCAAAAGCUAAGAUCUCCUCCUCCCUAUUUACUCAAGCUCCAAAAAAUUCAUCAUCAAAUCCCCAAAAUUUCGCUAGAAAUCAUCAUUAAUGGUCUUCGUUCAUAUCACGGCCACCCGAACCAGUUGCAUCACUUGCAGUUUUGCUGGAAAAGUUCAAUACAGGGAUUUCGUUUUAAGGCUGGCUUCCGAUGUUCCUAUAGAAUUGCAAAACAGGCUUUGUAAGGAUGGAUGGGAAGAUGAGGCAAUAGAACUUUUCAAGGAAAUGAAAGCUCAGGGAAUGAUUCCCAAUAUCAUUUCUUAUACCUCCUUGAUUCAUGCAUUUUGCUAUUGUGGAAAGUGGGAGGAGGCUAAAUGUUUGUUCAAUGAAAGGGUGGAUCAAGGUGUUCGAUCAAAUGCGAUCACAUUUAGUGUGUUGAUUGAUAUGCUUGGCAAGGCAGAUAAGGUUAUUGAGGUUAAGAAUUUGCUAGAGAUGAUGAUUCAGAGAGGACAUUCAGGCAUAGCAGAAGGCUGAAUGAGGUGCAGCUCAUGCUUGAAGAGUAAAUCAAGAUUCAAGUAGAUUUUGUAUUGAAGCACAUUUACGUGGAUCUCAACUGGUGUUGAAGAGGUUUCAUCAAAGAUACUCAAUGCUUGAUGGAAUACUCAAUAGUGUUUCAUGAAAUACUUAAUGCACGAUGCCAUACUCGAUGGUACUCGAUGCGUUUACUCGAUGAUAUUUCAUGAAAUACUUGAUGCACGAUGCCAUACUCGAUGGUACUCGAUACGUUCACUCGAUGAUAUUUCAUGAAAUACUCGCUGCUUGAUGCAUGGUGCUUUACUCGAUGGUCGAUGGCCUCUACUCGAAGGUAUUUUGUGAAAUAUUUAAGGUUUGAUGAUGCUUGAUGUCAUACUCGAGGCACACUAGCAUACUUGAUGCUGGGUGCGUGCUGAUACUCGAUGGGUUUUGCCUGGUUCAAAGCGGUUUGAGUGGUCCAGAAGGUUUUUUAAGCUAGUUUUGCUAAUUUAUAUAAUAGCUAGACCUUUCUUUGCUUGGGAAUGCCAAAACCAAAAACCAUAUCAGUUUUGUGUUUACUUAUUUAUGGGUUUGAUUGAUAACC